GCCUAUGUAGCAUAGUGGCAUUGCACUGGUUUUGUAAGCCAGAAGUCAUGGGUUCGAUUCCCAUCGUAGGCU